rnacentral:rRNA from 1 species
UACGUAGGUGGCAAGCGUUGUCCGGAAUUAUUGGGCGUAAAGCGCGCGCAGGCGGUCCUUUAAGUCUGAUGUGAAAGCCCACGGCUCAACCGUGGAGGGUCAUUGGAAACUGGAGGACUUGAGUGCAGAAGAGGAAAGUGGAAUUCCAUGUGUAGCGGUGAAAUGCGUAGAGAUGUAGAGGAACACCAGUGGCGAAGGCGACUUUCUGGUCUGUAACUGACGCUGAGGCGCGAAAGCGUGGGGAGCAAACAGG